GCUGGGUAUCAUUAUGAGCCCCAUUUUUUAGCUAAGGUAAACUGAGGCUUUGUGAAAUGGAGCCACUUCUCCAAGAUUAUUCAUUUAGAGAAGGUAGUAGCUGGGAUAUAAACCUAUUUCAGUCCAGUGCUAAAACCCAUGAUGUUAACCACUAUGCCAGUGUAUUGGUUUCCUGUGGCUGCUGGAACAAAUCACCACAAACUUGGUGGCUUAAAACCAAUGCAGAUUUAUCCCCUUACCAUUCUGGGAUUCAGAAGUCUGAAAUCAGUUUCACGGGGCUAACAUCGAGGUGUUGGCAGGGACGGAUCUUUCUGGAACCUCUAAGAGGGCUCAGUGGUCACUUGUGGCCCGUGGCGACUGUAUUGGACGGUGCAGGCAGAGGAAUACAUGCAAACAUGCUUCAGGCUGGAGAAAUCAAGAGACUUCCCACCGGAGGGAGUAUCAGCACUGGACACCGAAAGAUGAGCCAAGGCCCAGAGAAGUUGCGAGCAAGCAGCCUGCACACGAGCUAUAAAAAGAAGUACUUAGAAGGUGAGUAGGGAACAGGAAUGAUCCCCAAUGCCAAGUACAGGGUGAGUGAGAGGGAGGGAGGGAACAGGGUGAAGAAGACGGGAAGGCAAGGGCAAGGGGAGGAUGAGGAGGUGGAGGAGGUGAAUCCUAUAUGGAGAUCAUCUGCAGCUUUAAAAGAGCUGCAUCCUGCUGCUGCUUAAGAUGCUCAGCCUGCUGUCGCCCUGGUAACGAGAGAAAAAUCACAGAGCAAUUUGUAAUCAGUGGUGGUUCCUGCUGCUCCCUGGGAACAUUGUUCCCCUUUGGAGGCUGCAUCACUGAGCAGGAGGGGCCCUGCGGAUCCCAGAGUCCGGCCCCCAGGAGAAGGAGACCAGGCGGGGCUGCGUCCCCAGUGACAUAGCUCCCUGCGUGCAGAGCUCCCCUGUGGUUGCUCAGCCUGCCCCAUGCCUAUGGAGCCGGCUGGGAGGAAACUCUCCCUCACACCACACUGGAGCCUCCUCUCUGCUCUGGCCACUGGAGCCGUAAGCCCCACCUCCUCCCUUUGCCAGCAGAGACUCAAGAUGGAGUGCGGCAUCUUCCCAGCCCCACUUACCAAAUGGUGGCUGCAGACUCUUCCCAAUCCUGGCUGCUUCCUCUCAACCAGGCCAGGCACAGGAUUCAGGGAGAGUCCAAGGAGCAUAAGGCACAAACAAAUGAGUCACCUCCCUCAUUCUAGGUAUAGACCUUGAUUAAUGGGACCUAAGCUUAAGUUGGCCUGGCCAGGGGCCCACCCUCCUUACUCUCUUUGUGUCUGUCUCCAGAUGACCAUCCAUUGGUAUGAAACAUCCACCCCAGUGAAAUCAGGCAUCCCACUACCCGUGUCCUAUCCAUUCUAAGGUCUCACGGGCAAUUCCAUGAGGCCAGUGUGGAACUCCUACUUAUCCCCUCAGAUCCUCCUGCUCAGACCAUAAGCUUCAGCAUCAUUCCUCACCUGUCUUUCUUCUUCGCCUCCCAUGUCUGAUCCUUGAGCCUACUUACUGUCUCCCACUCCUUAAUAGCUCUGGCAUCCAUCUACUGUCCUCCCCCGCCUCCACUGCCCCCCUGGACCUGCCACCAUGAGUUCUCGUCCAGGUGAGUCCAGGUGAGACUCCUCCUGGCGAGUCUCCUGGCUUCCCUUCCCACCGAGCGAUCAGAGAUGUCGUUACCUUGCUCAGAACAGCCCGGCAUUCCCAGCCCGACUCCUCAUCUGGGCCACAUGGAGUCUUCAGAGCCACACCUGCCCUUCCUCUCACCCCUGCACUGCAACCACACAGGUCCUUUCUGUUCCCAGGCCCCCAGAAGCUUCUUCCCGCUUCAGGACCCUGGCACUUGCUGUUCCCCUGCCCGGGACACAUGUCUCCCAACUAUGCUAUCGUGAGUCAGCUCUGGUCUCCUUAGAGGGGUCUCCUUAAGCCCCUCUGGGUGGGUCCCCUGCUCCUCACUGUUCCCCCCACCCCGGCCCAAACUCAGUGACUUUCUACCCCUGCAUGGUUUUCAAUUCCUCUGUCACUAAUGCAGGUUUUCCCUGGCCUUUGUUCCUUUGUCCCUACUUGGUUGAUGUGGUCCCCCGUGGGUGGGAGUUCCUGGGAGCAGGACUGGGACUGCUCGGCUGGGCCUACCCUAACUCCUGGUGCUCAGUACACAGCAAGCACUCAGUAAAUGAGGAUGCAUGUGGCUCCCACAUGCUCCCUGUGUGCUGCGGGCAGGUAUGAGGCCAUCAGCGUCAGGACCAGGGGAUGCACUCACCCCCUGCCUGGGCAGGCCCUUCUGCCCCUCUUGGGGUCAGCUCCCCACCUUGUGGCUCCCUUCACAAUCUGCUGAUGAAAAGGAACAGAGCAAUUCCUGGAGCCCUGAUGGUGGCUGCUCAGGUGGAGGGUGCCUGGCAGGGCCUCCUGUAGGACCCCUGGCUAACUGUGCAGCCCUCACCAGGGGCUUCUCUCCUGGGGCAGCUUUUCCUCCCUUCAGGCAUGAAGAGCCCACAAAGUUUCUGUGGUCAGAGACAACUCCACGAUCUGGGCCCCGGAAGCUCUGGAGUUGGGGGGGACGCAGGUUCAUCCUACUUUGGGCUAGCCUAGUGCUCAUCGGGGCUCCUGGUUUCAAUCGGGACUCCAGGAUACAGAAGGCCCCAGGGUCAAGGCUCAGACGGGCACGUCCUGAAGGGCCAAGGCCCUAAUAAUUAUUCUCACAUUGUUCCCAACUGCUCUGUGAGCAGGUGCAAAGGUCCUGCUCCCCCAUUUGAGGAUGAGGCAAUUGAGACUCCAUGAGAAGUGGUUUGGCCAAAGUCACACAGCACAUAAGGUGGGAAGCAACCAGCACCCUGCAUCCGGCAGAUGCCCAGUCCAAGGCCAGAGAGAGAGUAGACUUGGAGCCUCAGGGCUGGACCUCGAAGCACCAGAGCAGAUGGGGAGGACUCCCGGCUGCUGGGAGAGUCCCCAGGCACCUCUGGACCAGGAGAAGCAGGGCCUGGGACUCUAGAGUUCACUUACUGUGUCACCUCAGGCAAGCCUCUUCUCUUCCCCGGGCCUCAGUCUCCAGUUCUAGAAGAUGGGGCUGCUGUGCCCACCAGGGAGGGCUGGAGGGAGGCUGGAGGAGGAGACAGGGUCAGAAGGAGGGGAAGACAGGAGGCACAGCACUCCUGAGCUGCAUGGAGCCCCAACGGCCUUGUCCUCUGCCACCCCAACCCCCAUUUCCUCCCAGUCUGCUCCCAGGGCUCCAUCACUCACUCUGUGGUCCAUUACUGCCUGUCCCAACUCCGGCCCUGGAAGUUGUCCAGUUGCAAAUGGAAAGGAGCCGGGGGUUGGCAGAGCUGGUGGGGCUGCGGUUCUGAGGACAGGAGCCUCCUCUGAUCAAUGGGGUCUGGGGAGGAUGGUGGAUGGGAGAGAAAGAAGCCGCAUCGAUGCCCUUCCACCCCUGACCUGGAACUGCUCACACGUGCCCACCUUCCUGCACUCGAUGCAGAGAGACACCCUGGACUUGCCGGCGAGCAAACCCGGGGACAGGGUGAUAUUUACCUCGAGUGGCUCAUCGCACAGAGCCAGCCAGGACUAAGUUUGGGCAAACCCAGUUCCUGACCACAGGCUCUUCCAGCUGCCUCUCUGUGGGCUGCGCGCCGGCCGGGGAGUAGCAUUUUCAUUUAUAAGUGGAGGGGAUCUCUGAAGAGAAAAUCCAUAGAUCUCUGAAGAGAUUGGAGUAGGGAGGACCCUCCUAGCUAAACUUCUACAGGAGGCAGGUGAACAUGCAGCUCAGCCACUGCUUCCCUGUGUCCUUGGGUAAAUGGGCCUUUGUCUCCACUUCUGCAAAAUGGGUUCAGCGUAGGGAGGUUUAGUAAAGGAAACCAGUCUUGGGACUCCCCUUAACGACUUAGAUCACCCGCCCCCUGCCAUACCCACUGCCCGCAUCCCAGUACUCCAGAGGGGUGAUGGCCAGAAGCUGGGAGGGCUCUGCUGGGCCUGAAAGGAGGGGUCGCUGCCCCACCAGGCUUGGGGAGAAAGGCCCUGCAGGGGAGCUGCCGAAGGAUCCAGGGCCUCAAAGAGGCCGUGCCAGAGUGCCAACACCCGAGUAGCCGUGAGCACGGAGACCUGGGCCUCACUCUGUUCCUCUCCAUCACCGAGGCUGUGAAGGGAGCUUUAGAGAAGGAGACUGAUCCCCAGAGAGGUGAAGCACCCUGGCUGGGUCUCAGAGCAGGUGAGCAGCCCAGGCUGAGCUUGAGCAUGUGCGCUGGUCCCCUGAAGAGCUGCUCUGUCCAGCACGACGGCCACCAGCCAUAGGUUGCUGCUGAGCACUUGAGAUAUGGGCAGCCCGGGUGGCUCAGCGGUUUAGCGCUGCCUUCAGCCCAGGGUGUGACCCUGGAGACCCGGGUUCAAGUCCUAUAUCGGGCUCCCUGCAUGGAGCCUGCUUCUCCC